rnacentral:rRNA from 1 species
UACGGAGGAUCCGAGCGUUAUCCGGAUUUAUUGGGUUUAAAGGGUGCGUAGGUGGAUUAAUAAGUCAGUGGUGAAAUCCUGCAGCUUAACUGUGGAACUGCCAUUGAUACUGUUAGUCUUGAGUAUGGUCAAGGUAGGCGGAAUGUGUAAUGUAGCGGUGAAAUGCUUAGAUAUUACACAGAACACCGAUUGCGAAGGCAGCUUACUGGGCCAUUACUGACGCUGAUGCACGAAAGCGUGGGGAUCGAACAGGAUUAGA